GAACGCGAAGAACCUUACCAGGUCUUGACAUUGAUGGACGAAACAAGAGAUUGUUUUUCUCCUUCGGGAGCCAGAAAACAGGUGGUGCACGGCUGUCGUCAGCUCGUGUCGUGAGAUGUUGGGUUAAGUCCCACAACGAGCGCAACCCCUAUCUUAUGUUGCCAGCACUUCGGGUGGGAACUCAUGAGAGACUGCCGCAGACAAUGCGGAGGAAGGCGGGGAUGACGUCAAGUCAUCAUGCCCUUAUGACCUGGGCUACACACGUACUACAAUGGGCUUUAAUAGAGGGAAGCGAAGCCGCGAGGUGGAGCAAACCCCAGAAACAAGCUCUCAGUUCGGAUCGUAGGCUGCAACUGCUACGUGAAGUCGGAAUCGCUAGUAAUCGCAGGUCAGCAUACUGCGGUGAAUACGUUCCCGGGUCUUGUACACACC
rnacentral:rRNA from 1 species